rnacentral:rRNA from 1 species
AUGGGAGUGAGAAUGUUGGCAUGAGUAGCGAGAUGUGGGUGAGAAUCCCACAGGCCGUAAACCCAAGGUUUCCAGGGGAAGGUUCGUCCGCCCUGGGUUAGUCGGGACCUAAGCUGAGGCCGAAAGGCGUAGGGGAUGGACAACAGGUUGAUAUUCCUGUACUACCGAUAACCGUUUGAGAGAAGGGAUGACACAGUAGGAUAAGCUAAGCACACUGUUGGUUAUGUGUGCCCAAGCAUUGAGGCAGUCAAAGUAGGCAAAUCCGCUUUGAUAAUGCUGGGAUGUGAUGGGGAGCGAAAUUUAGUAGCGAAGUAGCUGAUUUCACACUGUCAAGAAAAGUCUCUAUCGAGGUUAAAGGUACCCGUACCGCAAACCGACACAGGUGGGUGAGG